rnacentral:rRNA from 1 species
UCCCAGUUCGGAUCGGAGUCUGCAACCCGACUCCGUGAAGCUGGAUUCGCUAGUAAUCGCGCAUCAGCCAUGGCGCGGUGAAUACGUUCCCGGGCCUUGUACACACCGCCCGUCAAGCCAUGGAAGCCGGGGGCGCCUGAAGUCCGUGACCGCGAGGAGCGGCCUAGGGUAAGACCGGUGACUGGGGCUAAGUCGUAACAAGGUAGC